GAUUGGUCGAACCUGUCGGGUUCGUCCCGCCUACCCCGCCCGCCGCCCCGCAGGCCCCGCCCCGCGGCGAGCGGGACUCGUGCAAAAGAAAGAACAUGAGAUCGCUAGCGCUAAGCUGAGCCAAUUCUCUUGGACCUGUGGCAAUGAGUGUCAAUGCAUCAAUGGGUAUUUGCUGAGGACAGACGCUGAGAGACAUGGCUGAUGCUGUGAUUUGGAAUGUGCUGCAAUCCUGACUGUGAGACCUGCAGGACAUGCUCCUUUCCCCAGGCACCAAACAUGGCCUUCACAUAAGGAUGGAGACAUGAAGGAAAGAUUUUCUAAACUUCCUGGAUGACCUAAAUAGCCACCGAGCUCUGGAGUCACUGGAGCCACUGGAGUGUUCCCCGAUGGCCUAGGAAGCGCUGAGAGUUCAGGUUGGACUAAGUCCAGUGUUUUACCCUUUGAUGUUUUAUGGGCUAUACAGUGAAGAUCCACCUGAAGGCCAGCAGAACUGCAUUGCAAAUUUUCUGAUUGAGUCACAGAACAGAAAAAUCUGAAUGUACAAACGUGAAAGCCAAAGAGAUGUAAAAUCAUAUUCCAGGAUCUCAGAAAUGUGCCAAAGUCUUCUGGCAAAUAUUAGCAAGGUAAGAGAUCAUAAGAAUGCUUUAUGCUUUUAAUUACAAGAAGAAUUACAAAUAUUGGAGUGACUGGAACAUGAGUGUUUUAUUUCAGUUCAUUUUCAGUACAUAAGUGAUUUGGGGGUUUUAAUAUUCAAUUGCAUUUGUCCUUAUGUGUCGUCAUGCACAUUGUGGUUUUUUUCGUUGCCUUCUCUCAUUUGGUCCAUGCAUAGAAAUUCUGCAUUUACCUAGGACUAUUGUACACAGAAGACACCAUUUUUUUCCCCUCUAAUUUUCUAGCUGCUGACUUUAAUGUCAAAAUUCGAUUCUAAGAUUAACAAAAAAAUACAAAAUGCUGGGAUGUUAAACAGAAGCACUGUCUAAAAAGUACCAGAGGGUAAAAUUUCAUAGUGUUUUUCCUCUCUUGGUUUGGGAGGGAAACAAAGAACAUGUUCAUUGAAGAAAUUCUGUACAACACAGCUGUGGGCUGGACAGCAAAGGAACAAAAUUUAGCAGCAUCAAUUAUAGUGCUUAAGACCAUGCUACUUUUCAUUUUUUGUAAUGUUUGGAUUCAAAGCCAAGUUAGACUCCAAAAGCAAUAAUCACUGUGUGCAGCAGGCAAGCUUCAAUAAGGGAGUUUGUUGCAGCAGCUGUACCUUCAUGGUUUUGCAUGAAAAUGAGGAAAACAUAAACUGACAUGAAAUAAAUUCAGCAGCAGGUUAAGUUUUUACAUGAAGCACUGGAAAAACAAAAAGCUAACAGCAUGGGAAUUUAUGAGGAGACUGAGGAGUGUAAAAGAGACAUGGUUUUGCAUUCAGAGAGGGGAAUAUGAAUUCUACUAACUCCAGAUUUGCUUUAUUCAUUCCUUAUAUUCUGUAAAAGAUUUAUUUAAAUACAAUACAUGGCUGGACAUUUUGAAAGUAUAUAAUUACUUAGCUCUGUUUCUUAAAAUGAAACAAACAGCCUUAUGUAUUAUAUAUGUCUGCAUAUAUAUGCUAAUUUUCAAAAUGGUGUUCAUUAACCUUAAGAAAGUGCUUGAAUUGAUCUUUAAGACCACUGUUUAAACCGGUUAAAGACCAAUUUUUUAAUGUGCAUAGAACUUCAAAAGUGAAAUUCCUGAGUAACCUCAAAUCCUAAAUUCAUCAAAAUCUGAAGAACUGGAAUUGUCUCUAAGCAAGAACUCUAGAAUGACAAUCUGUGGUUUCUGUUCUGGGCCUCUGACUAACUCAUUCCUAGGAAAGCAGGCAAGUUUAGGAUCUAUGCUUCAGUUUGUCCUCUUUUGAAAGUAUAUUUACCUUCCAGAUUAACAUUUAUAGGUGUACCUCUCAAAAUAUGUGACAAAAAAUGCCUUAAGUGAUACAAUAAGUAAAUACUUUGCUGGCUUGAGCUGCUUAAUUUUUCAGAAAGCAUUCUCAUUGUGGAAUAGUCAGUCUCAAAUGUUUAUCCAUGAAUUUAUUUGUAAUUAAAGUCCCUUCAGAUAUAUUGAGAGAAAUGUUUUCAAGUACAGCCAUCACCAGAUCUACAUGCACCAUUAUUGUCACAGAUAUUUUCAUUACUAGUCCAGUCAUCUUUCCUCUAACCUCCCAUGUCUAUAGACCCAUGCUAUGAUAAGAAGAAUAGAUUUUCCUCUGCCUUAUUUCUACCGUAGGGGAAAAAAUGCACAGAAAUCACAUUAAAUGUCAAAGUGAUCACUAAUAAUGAUUGCAAAAUCUCUUCCUCGUUCUCUCCCAGGUCACCACACCUGCAAACUGUCAUCCAAUUCAGGCUUACUCUGAACCCAGUAGCUUUCUGCGCAUUCAGAAGGUAGUAAGGCAGCAGUUGCUGCCAAAUAUCUCCUGCCUUACAAGCCACCAUGCUUGGAAAGGCAGGCAGCAGAACCUUAGAAUGGAAGGCUUCAAAAUACUCUGGGGCGCUCUUCAAUGACACAGCAGCUUCUGUAAAGUCUUGAUAACUGAGCUUUUAAGCUUGGAGGACAGCCAAGCUCUCUCCAGCUUCAUUCACACCACACUUCCUUUGGCUGUAAAACAGACUGCCAGCAGAGACACAGUGCCACCCCUAUUCCUAUUUUAUUUAGACAAAGGCAGAGUUUAGUCCUCACCAGUCCUACAUUUUGCUCAUUUCGUAGCAAAUGGAGAAGAGAAAACUUUAGUUAUCUAUUACAAGUAGAAUACCUGCUUCAGGUAUUUUUUGUAGCAGAUACUGAAGGAAUCAGUUUGAGUACCAUACUGAUCUCAAAUUACAACACCUAAUCUUAUUUGGGCACUGCCCAUAACAUAGUCAGAUUUUUAAUGUUAAAGGUUACAAAAGCAUUAGCUAGAUGGGUUAGAGACAGUAUUUUCCAUGGAGCAGGAUCCAUAAACAGUUGUAGCAGUGUUUUAACAGGUGGCACCUGUCACUGUUGGGACUCUUGACAGUACAUGCCAUACUGUAGUCCCCUGUAGAAACACGCAGAAACCUCGUAACAAUCCUUUGCUUUGAGGAGAUGAAUAAAUUCCUGUGCCAAGAAUAUCAGUUAUAUCUGAUGUAAUUGACUGUUAGGGAAAAAAGGCCAUGUGGUUGGAGCAGAGGAUGGGGAGACAGAAAUUUUUGGCAGAAGACAAAUAUUCUGGUACCAUAUGGUACAGAAUUCCCUGGUGUCCCUAAGAUCAAAUUACAAGAAACUAGCUGCUGUUUUUCAACAGGAAAGAUUUGAAUUUUGGAGCUGCUGUGCAACUGUAACACCCAUUGCCUAGUGGGGAUCCUGGUAUGUGGGUUUCCUGAUGAUGGUAACAAGAAAAGACUUUGAAAACAAGACAGGUCAAAUGCAGCCAUCUGGAGUGGCAUUUUCCACUGCAAAGGUUUAAAAGACCGUGUUUACUUUGCACAGCACUAAUGUUUUUGUCUGGGUUCCUGUGGAAAUGGGACUUAACUGAUCAUAUCACCUAUAUAUUGCUAUCAGUCUUCCUUCCUCUCCUACAAGUUCCAAGAAAAUAACUCAGCAGAGAGGGAAGAAACAUCCUAAAGUGCUCAACUAUAUUAUUAGACCAGAGAAUCCACAUGGAUGAUGAUUAUGAUGAAUGGGUUAACUGCUGGGAAAACUGAUGCGUACUCUUGAGACACAGAGAAUCUAACUAUGAGAUUACAAAUCCACAGGCAAACAAACUUCAUUAGCUCACUGCUUACUGAACUACAUGUGUUUUUUUAAUGUCAUGUAUUAUUCUGAAAGCAAACUGAAAUCUAGUCCUACUUGUAUUACAGUAAGGUGAUUAUAGUGAAUAAGUGCUUUCAUGUGGAGAAAACACCUGGUACUUGCAAGCUCUUUAGACUACUGGAGAAAGGCAUAACACGAACCGAUUUUCGGAAGAUGAAAGACAAACCAGAGAAAAAGGCACAGAUUUUUAGCUGAGAGAGCAAGUGACCUUAGGAGCAAACAACUGAGGUGAGUGGAGAUUCUCUGAUUUUUUCGUGUUCACAAAUCAGGCCAGUGUUUCUAUUUGAAAGAUAAACUUUAACCAUAUACAGAUUAUUAAGUUCUAUCCAUGAUAGCAGAGUGAAAUCUUUUAGUCAGGAAGUUAUAUCAGAUGAAAGCAAGUUUCUUUCUGGCUUAAACUUCAUGAGCAAGCAAAAGGUGGGCAGUGAGGCUUGUAGAGGAGGCUCACGGUCAUCAGUGGAAAUAACAGAAGGGAAAUGAUUGUCUGAAUAUAACUCUUUAAAGAUCUCACUGCCUCAGCAUAUCCUUUGGGUAAGGCAGGGCCCAUCUGUUUUAGAUGCCUGUAGAACAUUUGGCACCUGACAGAUACAGUUUAACAAAUUUUGCUUUCAUGCUCAAAUAUGUUUAAAUAUUUUCAGCUGUCCUCUCUUGAAACAGUCAACAAAUAUAGUGGUUAGACAUAUUUAAAGAGCAAGGUGACCACCUUACUUUUGCCCUUGCAAUUUUAAAGCCUUAUUUCUGUAGGAGGCUUCCAGGAAGAGACUUAAUGACAUUAGCAUGAUCUCUUGCCCAAGGAUCACCAAGGUCUGAGUGGAACUCAUUAGAGAAAAGAUAGACAUAAUACAUUGAGGAGAAAUGGAGAAAACAGGAAGGCAGCUAUUGCAGGAAUGAUGCAGCUGAUAUGGUUAUGAAAUCUUGUUCCAUUCUGCAGGUUUUGUUCAUACAGAAAUACCUUGGAAAGGAGCAUUUCAGAACAAAAGCAGCUGAAAAUUUGGUUGCCUUCAGUGGGAGUCAGUUGGGGUGUUUCUUAAAACCAGCACAGCCCUUUAAUGUAGGAUUCUGCAAUACUUGCAGUGUAGUUGAGUUUCCUGUACUUCACCCAUGAUCCUGAAUGCCAUCCUUAGCAACAGCCUGAUUUAUCCUUUCAGAUCCUGCACAGAUGUGUUGCCUUGACAUACAUUGAUCUCACUGCAGAGAAGGGGUGUGAGGCUAGGACUGGGAAAUCAGGUUCAGAAUGCUGUCAUUCUUCAGUGAGUGAGCUAAGGACACCUGCAAUCGUAGAUGGGAGAACUUUCUCAGUUUCUGUAUAGCCACAGGCCUCAAGCAGGCUCGGCACUAAGGUCAUAGCACUAUGAUUCAUGCGACCCACCACAACUUGCCAAAAAGUGAGACUUAGCUGCUGGUGGUAGGCAUCAGAAGUUCAAGGUUAAUCUUCCAAGUGGAAGAGAAAAAACAGGUCAUGGUUUUCCAGGUCAGUGAAGCUGUUCCUCUCGUGUUCAGAGGAGAGUUAGCUUGUGUCCUGGUUUCAGCUGGGACAGCGUUAUUUUUUCUUCUCAGUAGCUGGUACAAUGCUGUGCUUCAGAUAUAGUAUGAAAAUAAUGUUGGUAACACGCUGAUGUUUUUAGUUGUUGCUAAGUAAUGUUUAUACUAAGUCAAGGACUUUUCAGUUUCUUAAGCCCUGCCAGCAAGAAGGCACAAGAGGGCACAAGAAACUGGGAGGGGACACAGCCAGGACAGCUGACCCAAACUAAUCAAAGGGAUUUUCCAUACCAUAUAAUGUCAUGUUCAGUAUAUAAACUCAGGGGAGUUGGCUGGGGCUGGCUGAUUGCUGCUCAGGGAUUGUCUGGGCAUUGGUCAGCAGAUGGUGAGCAUUUGUAUUGUGCAUCACUUGUUUUUUUUCCAUUCCCUUUGGAUUUUAUUCCUCUCCCCUCCUCUCUCUUUUUUUAAAAAUUAUUAUUAUUAUAAUUAUUGUUGUUAUUAUAUUUCAAUUAAUACAUUGUUCUUAUCUCAACCCUCAAGUUUUACCUUUUUCCCCGAUUCUCCUCCCCAUCCUGUUGGGGAGGGCAGGGAAUGAGUGAGUGGCUGCACGAUACUUAGUUGCCAGCUAGAGUUAAACCAUGACAUCUUGGCACUCAACAAAUCCAACAACAGACAAUGUCAACAGCUAACUGGAAAUACCUGGGACUAGAGGGAGAACCUGCUGCAUGAAAGAUCUCUACUUAGGUCUGAUAGCACUUUCCAGAGGAAAAUCCACUUUCAGUAGGAUUAUUUACCCUCAGCCCUGUGACAGACCACAGGGGAAAAAAAGUCACUGCAGUACAGGGUAGUUUUAUAUCAAAAAAAACCCCCAACUAUUGUCAGGCUUUUCUGGAAAAGCUGGACUACACAAUCAGAAAUUAGAGGCAGUUCAGAGUGCUUAAGUAAAAUGUCUAAUAGGGACAUAUGCACUACAGUUGUCAGAUGGGUAUGCUUCAGUUGUGCAUGGAGUGGACCCUCAGAGCAAUGACACCUAUAAAAAGACCAGAACUGUCUAAAGAGGCUAAAUGCAUCAGGAAUGACUGUGUAAAAUUUGUAAUGAGGAUGAGCUCCUAAGACAGCAUCCUAAACCAUUAUCAGUCCCUGUCAUUCAUUGAAUAAUGUUUGGGAGCAUUAUCUAAGAGUUAUGUCUGGUUGUCAUAUCACAUGCUAAACCCACUGCUAAGGAUAACUGGGGAACAUGAAAAGCACCUCACCAGCGUUUUGCUACUCAUUAAUGUUGUCUCAGAGUUUAGAGUUUGUUUCUCAGGAGGAACUCCUCCAUCUCCUCCCAAGACAGAUGAAAACUGAUGGAAUGACUCACCUACCUGGAAGACCCCAAGGCACAUCAUGAAAGCUUCCAAGGUGGUGAAACAUCUUCUGUGAAAAAGAUGCUGGCUGUCUAGAUAUCUGUUGGUGGGUGGCAAGCUCAGGCUGCUGAAAGACCCAAUUGCCUUAAAACCCUCUGCUGGAUGGCAGGCUUCUGGAGGUAGAGCAACAGUACGUACCCUUUCAUUCUAUAAGGAUGCCUUUGUGUUCAGAAACCUCUUGUCCUUCAAUCUGACAGUCACCCUGUCAACCUGCUGAGGCUAUGGGGAAGUCCACAGCCUUGGAUAUGUCAAGGUCCAAGAGAAUGUCUCCCUGCUUUAAUCAAGGCCUAGGUUCUCUUGUUGAAGGUAUACAAACUUCAUUUUUUUUCACACAUAUCCAAGCCUGAAACCAUGCAUGAUCUUUCAUAACAACUUUCUAAUCAUACAUCCAACAAUUUGGGGUAGGCUGGCUGUUCAGCAUGUCUAGGUGAUAUAUAGCCUCCCUCCUGCUGCUCUUGACAUGCAUUGCAGCAGAAAAUGGGAGGGUUGCAUGGCUGAAAUUUUAUGUGGUAACGUAGCAAAGAGGUGCAAUCCACAGGCUCAGACCAUUGUUGUGUAACAGUCUUCCCAGAGGAGUCCAGGUAGCUGCAGGCUCCUGAGCCUCUGCCAUGCAUGUCAUGGUGCCUUGGGCACCACGUGAGCUGCUGGGCACGCUUAUGUCUUGACCUGGGUGUGAACAGAGUCCCUUGCUGAUGGAUUUGGCCUCAUGGUGCCUAUCGAGGCUUUUCUUAAUGGACCUUCAAGAUCUACCUGUGGUGUCAAACAGCCUUCCAUAGUAAGCCCUCUGUGCUUAGCAGCGACACAUGACUGGUACUCUGUCAAAAGUCAACUUGAUUACUCAUUACAACCUGAGCUCUUCCCUGCAAGACACUACACAUACCACUUUACAACAGAAAGUAAUUCUGUAAUUGUUCACAGCAGCACACAGCAGUUUGUGCAAGACACUUAAAGAGAUUUCUGUUUCCAGGGUCACAUUUUCUUAAAGCUACUGCACAGCAGAGUCUUUA